GGAGAUUCUUCAUAUGUAUCUCCAUAGUGUAAAAUGCAGCCAUGAGCAAGAGUUGAUUAAAAGGGAAAGGUUUACAGGGAAGUGUUUCUAAGGGCUCUUUUCCUUGAUUGUGAUGGGUUGAGUGUUGAGGGACGGAGAUCUGGGAUGACGGAUAUAUAGUUUGAGACGGAUGACCACAGUGACAGUGAUGAAAAUAUACACGCAUGGCGCUCAUGGACAUCAGCUUUGGACCAGCAAUUAUGAAGGCUUUAUCCGUCGAGGUGUUUCUAGAUCUUGGGACUGAGAAGACCUUGGCGUCAUAACUGGAUCGAAGACAAGGAGAGAAAACAUUGAGGUGUAUGAGGCUGUGAAAGUAUUGAGGAGCUGUGCGAUGAAGACAUUUAAAGACGAGAAGAGCCAUCUUGAAUAAGAUUCUAUUCUGGAUGGGAAGCCAGUUAAGUUUGGUUGACGCAGGUGCACACGUGAAGGCUUGCCAGUUAAUGAUGUAUCACGGCGACAUGGAAUCUGAUGCUAGUGUUCCCCCUUUGAGCAAACAAGACGAGAGCGUCCAGCCAACCUAGUCGGCAUUGUUAGAGAAGUUAGUUUAUAGGCGAUGCAAAAUUCGCGUCAACCCAACUGACCCGCUGCAAGGGCAUUGCCCGACAGUGGUUGAUUUGCUAUAAAGUAGUGCAACCUAAAUGAUGAAAUUUUUUCCAAGGAAAGAGUUUACAGCUAUGAUUUAUCGAAAAAAGCAAAGUCACGUUAAAAGCCUAUUACACAGAAACCAGGAGGCAUUGCUUUCAUGAAUUACAAAUCACGAAAGAAAAGUUGUUUGCACCUACUUGAAUGUCAGUACUUUCACCGAAAUGAGCCAAUUUCCUUUCUCGGAGGGGAUGAGGUGCUGAUGUAAGUCCAUUCGUUUACCACUUAGUUGUUCGAAAGUUUCUUAAUUGGAAAAUAGAUCACAGUUAAACGACGGAUAGUUCAAUAGUUAGAAACCAAAGAAAGUGAAGUUCAUUAAUCUAAAUUGACAGCAAGGUUCCUUUGUGCUGAAGGACAAAGUAAAAUAUUUAAGGGAGGUACAUGCGAAGCUCGGACCAGUGAACCUUGGGUUCUGUUCGAUAUAAUGAGCCUCCGGACUCUCAAACCUUCAAUAUAAUCGCAGUCUAAAUUUGAGCUACUGACCCUUCAGCAAAAUGGACCUUCGGACUAUUGAACGUUUACUGAGUGAACCUUAUUUCAGCAUCUCUCAUUAGCUAGCGACGGCAGGAAUAUAACCCCACGUACACUUAGUAAAUCUGAUUGCCUUUAAUCUAUUGCCAUUUGACAUACCCAAUAUAUAGGCUGCCGAUCUUCCGAAGUACCCAACAAUGGGACAGAAACUUACCAAAUAAUUCAUGGGUCAAAGUAAGCUGAGCAAGUUACUGAACCUAGUGUUCAAAAGGAAACCUGUUUGUUCUCAUGCAAGAAAAGCCCAGAUUUCAUAGCUAAAAUCUUUUCAUACAGAAAGAACGUGUCUGUUUCAAAACACCGCGUGCUCCCUUCUUUACCAACGCAUAGCUGAUAAAGUCGUUCCGCUAGGAUAUCAAUCAGCAAUUGCGAUAAUAUUCUAUGCUGUUAGCAAUGGGAGCCUGGUUUCUCUUGAAAAUUGUCAAUUUGUCAUGCAAAAUUUUUUCGUGCAUAUUGUAUGAAAAAAGUUCUGAAUAAAGAUUAAAGGAAUCAUGAAAAUCGAUGGACGGCUCCUUGUGCCUUCUUAUUGGAGUUCAACAGUCUUUACCAUGACUUCCUCCUCUGUGGAAAAUUGGGAGGCUCAGAAGCUUGUCUGUCACUAAAUGGCUUUUGUCUGAAGACUGGGAACCUAUGGACUUGACAAAUGGCUCCCCGUUAGCACUUUUCAUUUGACAACUAAAGGAUCCGGAUAUUGUGUUUCAGGCGAACUGGUUUCCAAUAAGAGACUGUUACUUCACAUCGGCUCGAGCUUAGAGAUAAUUAAAAGGACUGACGCUAUGGCCUGGCUUCGCUGACAAUGUGUCUAAAAUUAACGAUGACAACAAAAAAAUUCCUGAACGGAUUGCAGAUGCUAAAAGAUCUCC
rnacentral:lncRNA from 1 species